rnacentral:tRNA from 3 species
GGGGCCGUAGCUCAGUUGGGAGAGCGCCUGCAUGGCAUGCAGGAGGUCGUCGGUUCAAGUCCGAUCGGCUCCA